rnacentral:rRNA from 1 species
UGCAGUCGANCGAUGAAGCCGCUUCGGUGGUGGAUUAGUGGCGAACGGGUGAGUAACACGUGGGCAAUCUGCCCUUCACUCUGGGACAAGCCCUGGAAACGGGGUCUAAUACCGGAUAAUACUCUGUUCCGCAUGGAACGGGGUUGAAAGCUCCGGCGGUGAAGGAUGAGCCCGCGGCCUAUCAGCUUGUUGGUGGGGUAAUGGCCUACCAAGGCGACGACGGGUAGCCGGCCUGAGAGGGCGANNGNCCANACUGGGACUGAGACACGGCCCAGACUCAUACGGGAGGCAGCAGUGGGGAAUAUUGCACAAUGGGCGAAAGCCUGAUGCAGCGACGCCGCGUGAGGGAUGACGGCCUUCGGGUUGUAAACCUCUUUCAGCAGGGAAGAAGCGCAAGUGACGGUACCUGCAGAAGAAGCGCCGGCUAACUACGUGCCAGCAGCCGCGGUAAUACGUAGGGCGCAAGCGUUGUCCGGAAUUAUUGGGCGUAAAGAGCUCGUAGGCGGCUUGUCACGUCGGAUGUGAAAGCCCGGGGCUUAACCCCGGGUCUGCAUUCGAUACGGGCUAGCUAGAGUGUGGUAGGGGAGAUCGGAAUUCCUGGUGUAGCGGUGAAAUGCGCAGAUAUCAGGAGGAACACCGGUGGCGAAGGCGGAUCUCUGGGCCAUUACUGACGCUGAGGAGCGAAAGCGUGGGGAGCGAACAGGAUUAGAUACCCUGGUAGUCCACGCCGUAANCGUUGGGAACUAGGUGUUGGCGACAUUCCACGUCGUCGGUGCCGCAGCUAACGCAUUAAGUUCCCCGCCUGGNNAGUACGGCCGCAAGGCUAAANCUCAANGGAAUUGACGGGGGCCCGCACAAGCAGCGGAGCAUGUGGCUUAAUUCGACGCAACGCGAAGAACCUUACCAAGGCUUGACAUAUACCGGAANGCAUCAGAGAUGGUGCCCCCCUUGUGGUCGNNAUACAGGNGNUGCAUGGCUGUCGUCAGCUCGUGUCGNGANAUGUUGGGUUAAGUCCCGCAACGANCGCAACCCUUGUUCUGUGUUGCCAGCAUGCCUUUCGGGNUGAUGGGG